GCUCCAAUGGGUCGGCGGUAGACCGGCCUGGUAUUUUCGUCGUCGUGCAUAGUAUUUCAGGCAGAGGUGGGUUCGACUCCCGCUUGGACCG